UCUCAAGUAUAAUAAGAGCAUAUGGUGGAUGCCUUGGCGAAUAGAGGCGAUGAAGGACGUGUUACGCUGCGAUAAGCGUCGGGGAGCUGCGAAAAAGCUUUGAUCCGACGAUUUCCGAAUGGGGAAACCCGACUAUUUAUAGUCAUCCCUAACUGAAUACAUAGGUUAGGGAAGCGAACUCAGGGAACUGAAACAUCUAAGUACCUGAAGGAAAGGACAUCAACCGAGACUCCGUUAGUAGUGGCGAGCGAACGCGGACCAGGCCAGUGGCCGGUUAAUAAAAAUUAGAAUGCAAUGGAAAGUGCAACCGUAGUGGGUGAUAGUCCCGUAUAAGUAAAUUAUUUUCCGGUCCUCGAGUAGGGCGGAACACGUGAAAUUCUGUCUGAACAUGGGGGGACCACCCUCCAAGCCUAAGUACUCCUAUUCGACCGAUAGUGAACAAGUACCGUGAGGGAAAGGUGAAAAGCACCCCGAUAAGGGGAGUGAAAUAGAUCCUGAAACUGUAUGCUUACAAUCAGUUGGAGGGGCCAUGCGCCCUGACAGCGUACCUUUUGU
rnacentral:rRNA from 1 species